CAGUUCCUUGCCUACUAGUUUAACAGCUCUGCAGCAUUCUCACCCAGUGCUCCAGAGGAAAGGAGUUUGCUCUCCUCCCUGGCUCCUUCCUUUGGUGUUAGUGCCUUUAUAAACUGCAGCAAGGGGUGGAGAUCCCAGUCUAUCCUACUCCAUGCAAGAACCUCCCCUAACACUACUGCAACCAGAAUGAACCCACUGUGACAUUUCACUGCCCUUCCCUGAAUGUCUGCACACAAUCCCUUUAGUGGUCUCAUUCUCAAGGAAAGGGACUUUGGGUUUUAUACUCAGACUUGUCACAGUACUGAAAAGCACAAAGUGACCUAAACCUGAGUAAGUCUGUCAAACCAGAUUAACAUUUGAGGGUUUUCCCCAUUGGACUGACAGUCUGGACUGACAGUCUGGGUGAUGUAGACCAAUUUUCUAUACUUUGUCACCAGAUUCUGGCUAAAAUAAUAUAUUGAUCUUUCUUUUGCAUUGCUUCAUAAGUAUUUUGAAAAGUGAUGAAAUGGGGAAAUAGAGAAGCUAUAAACAGAUCUAAAAAGUCUUCAUUACUUCUACCUUAGCCAUUGAACACUUGACAGUGUUGUUGGAGUAUGAUUCAUUUCAGCUCAGAAUUAGCCAGUCACUGGGUCUAUGGGAAUUUGUUAGUUCCCCAGAUUUCCAGUAUUCACACCUGUGUGGAAGCUAAUGGAGUUUUUUAUUAGGGAGAAGGAAAUUCCUUUGUUCUUUUGUACUUUGAAGAGAAAACAAAGCACUGAAGUGGGCUGCUCCCUACAAGAAAAACAAUGCUGGAAAGCAGUUAUUUGGUAACUGUAAAUAAUUUUUCCAUUAGUGUUGAUACUGGCUCUGUCAGGCACGAAGGUUAUGAAGUCAGCUUUCUCCACAGUAGCCUGUGUGCUUUGCAUUUGAGGCUAGAACAGUGUUCAAAACUCACCAGAGUUUUGGCUCUUGCUGAAGAGUGCUUGCAGAGUCUCAGGGCUUUCUACCUCCCCCAUCUCCCAGUCAAAAGCCAGGAGGCUGGGGUGGGCGAGGGACUGUGAGGGGCCGCAGCCAGGACAGAUGACCCAAACAGGCCAAAGCCUGGGUCCUGUAUCCAAACUUUGUACAGCUAUCCUGUACUUACCAUAUGACACCAUGCUUAGCAUGGGGGGGAAAGGAGGAGGUGGGGACAACAUUUGUGGUAACAGCAUUUGUCUUCUGAAGCAAUCACUAGCUUUACUGGGGCUUUACUUCUUCAGGGAGUGGCUGGACACCUGCCUGCCAAUGCGAAGCAGUGAAGGAUCUCUACAGAUUCUACAGUUAAGGAGUUUCCCUGAGAAUCAGGCUCGAUUUUCUCUGCAAUGGGAUACGCAUACCAGGAGCUGCCAAGAACAGAAAUUCACUGACAAGGGCUUGAACUUGAGCUGACACUGUGGAAAAAGCAGAUGUCCAGUGUUGCAGGUUCUUGCUCUUCUUGGUUUUCUCAGGCAGCAUCAAGGGUUCCGUUCAAAUGUGAAGAGUUCACCAAGAAAAUAUCUGAAUAAGCCCAUCAAAAAAUCUCUGGUACUUGGUUUUACCAAGGCCUGCUGGGUCACCUACCUGUUUCAUAGUAAUCAUAUAUAUGUACAGGCACUGGUUUGAUGUCUGAGACAGGCAGGCUUUGCUCCACACCAAAGGAGAAGCUGAUUUCCU